rnacentral:lncRNA from 1 species
UGUUCUCCAAGAAUGCAAAGCUUCCUAUCAGAAGAGCAGCAGUCUUAUUUAUCUGAGAGAUCUGCUGUGUGACCCUGAGCCCUCUCUGCGCAUCAUCGCCUCUCAGGCUCUCUUCCAAGUCCGGGAGGUAGGGACUGAACAAGACCCCAGGCAGACUGUUUGCGGCUUGAGGAAACUCAUGGGCUGUCUUUCUACUUAGAAAUGCAAGGCAAGUAACAUCAGGUAAAAACUAAUCCUUUCAGAAACCAUAGAAGCAAUCAUGCCCCAUUUUUUUUUUCAGACUGAAAAUAAUGCCAGCCUGAAGCUACCUCCUGCCAUUUAAUUACCUCAGAACAUAUUUUUUGCUGUCAAAAUCUUUAAGGAAAUAGAAUAUAUGAGGGAG